AUAAGUUCAGUUUGGACCUGUUGAGUUUGUGGUGUGGGAUGCCACCGAGGUAGAUAUACAAUGGAAGAACCUUGCUGCAAAUCAAGACUUAGAAGGUAUUCCUCCAACCUCCAAACUGAACGAAGACAGUUCUGUCUUUGGAUUUCAAGUGAAUAAGGAUCAGUGAAUUGGGCUAUCCUACUGUAUAAAUGAGUCUACUCUGUACAAUCCUUGGAUUUACCCUCCGACCAUACAGAAUGAGCUACCGGGAAGUCAAGUACUUCUCCUUUCCUGGGGAACUUCUGAUGAGGAUGUUACAGAUGCUGGUCUUACCACUUAUCAUCUCCAGUCUUGUCACAGGAAUGGCAGCGCUAGAUAGUAAGGCAUCAGGGAAGAUGGGAAUGCGAGCUGUAGUCUAUUAUAUGACUACCACCAUCAUUGCUGUGGUGAUUGGCAUAAUCAUUGUCAUCAUCAUCCAUCCUGGGAAGGGCACAAAGGAAAACAUGCACAGAGAAGGCAAAAUUGUACAAGUGACAGCUGCAGAUGCCUUCCUGGACUUGAUCAGG
rnacentral:sRNA from 1 species